ensembl:lncRNA LINC02937 long intergenic non-protein coding RNA 2937
ACUCGCAGGCCAUUUUUAGCGGCCUGUUGGAAAGGGAAGACGAUGAAGUCGGGCUAAGCAGGGCAACGCCUUGCCCUCUGAGAGGCGUGGAGGGCCCUUGGGAAGCUCAGAGAGCUACGAUAAAAUGGCUAAACGACCUUCCUCUCCUCCAAGUCACCAAAUACGAGGCAGGAGAGGUGCCCGAUGAGCUCCCAGUCAUGUGGUUCAGGGCGGGCUCUGGAAGACUCACAGAGGAGACUCCUCCGAGAAACCAAGAAGGUUUCUGUCCAAGUCGGGAUCUGCUCUGCUCAGGAUGCUCCUCCAACACACACAGUGAAAAACUGAGCACCUAGAGAGCAACACCAAAAACCCAUGGCCAAUAAUGGAGAGCCAAAUCAGGAGAGCAUUCAGCAAAGCAAUUCUUGCUGUAGAAGGAACAGCACAAAAAGCUGGAAGGAAACUGAGGCAUGCGUGAAAGAUAACUUGUCAGUGUUUGCAGUCUACUGAGAUCCCCGCUGCAAGAAAAGGCAGGAUUUCCACUUGCUUCUUGGCCCGCCUCUGUUGUCCAGAAUCCAGGACAGGUGACAAGAGAAGCAGAUGUGAUCUGCACAAGCUGGCUCAGCUGGGUUGGGAGUUGCUCUUCCUGGACAGGCCGGGAAGGGUGCUGGAGGGGAGGGAGGAGGAGAGAGGUUUUAGGGGAGGGGUGCUGAGCAGUCAGGGACCUGUAAGGUCACAUUUCUUUCAGGUAUUCUUUCUAGGUGUACUGAAUGGGAACAUUGUCUGUCAUCCCUAGACUGCAUUAAAGACCUAAACUGCUUCCAUUUAUCUUUGGUUGUUGGACUGAAGUUUCUAAUGUACCUGGUGACACAGAGCACAGCUCUGUGUUUUUAUGGGUUGCUUAGUUCAAGAUCUGGAUGAAAGAAGCCUGAACCCAUUUUUGUGCAAAAGCCUAAGGGUGUACAGCAGGGAUGCUCAAACUUUUGUUUUUAUAAGAACCCACUUUUAUAUUAAGUAGGUUUUCUGUGUGUGAGAAGAAAUGCUUGAACAUGGAAAUGAAAAGUUCUAACUGUAGGAUGGAGUUUACAGUGAGUAUGAACCUCCCUCCCCACCUCCAAUCCCAGGGCCCCUUCCAUCUGUACUCACACCUGUAAUCCCAGCCCUUUGGGAGGCCGAGGCGGGUGGAUCACUUGAGGUCAGGAGUUCAUGACCAGCCUGGCCAGCAUGGUGAAACCCUAUCUCUACCAAAAACACAAAAAUUAGCCAGGUGUGGUGGCACAUGCCUGUAAUCCCAGCUACCUGGGAGGCUGAGGCAGGGGAAUCGCUUGAACCUGGGAGGUAGAGGUUACAGUGAGCCGAGAUUGCACCACUGCACUCCAACCUGGGCGACAGAGAGAGACUCCGUCGCAAAACAAACAAACAAACAAACAAACAAACAAACUUGUGAAAGAAUGAAAA